rnacentral:piRNA from 1 species
GGCAGGUAAGGAUGGUAAGCCAUACA